GAUGAAGAGCGUAGCGAAAUGCGAUAAGUAAUGCGAAUUGCAGAAUUUCCGUGAAUCAUCGAAUCUUUGAACGCACAUUGCGCCCCCUGGUAUUCCGGGGGGCAUGCCUGUUCGAGCGUCAUUUCACCACUCAAGCCUCGCUUGGUAUUGGGCAACGCGGUCCGCCGCGUGCCUCAAAUCGUCCGGCUGGGUCUUCUGUCCCCUAAGCGUUGUGGAAACUAUUCGCUAAAGGGUGUUCGGGAGGCUACGCCGUAAAACAACCCCAUUUCUAAGGUUGACCUCGGAUCAGGUAGGGAUACCCGCUGAACUUAAGCAUAUCAAUAAGCGGAGGA
rnacentral:misc_RNA from 1 species